GACGAACGCUGGCGGCGUGCUUAACACAUGCAAGUCGAGCGGUAAGGCCCUUUCGGGGGUACACGAGCGGCGAACGGGUGAGUAACACGUGGGUGACCUGCCUUUAGCUCUGGGAUAAGCCUGGGAAACUGGGUCUAAUACCGGAUACGACUCCGCGGUGCAUGCUGUGGGGUGGAAAGCCUUGUGCGGCUGGAGAUGGGCCCGCGGCCUAUCAGCUUGUUGGUGGGGUGAUGGCCUACCAAGGCGACGACGGGUAGCCGGCCUGAGAGGGCGACCGGCCACACUGGGACUGAGACACGGCCCAGACUCCUACGGGAGGCAGCAGUGGGGAAUUUUGGACAAUGGGGGCAACCCUGAUCCAGCCAUUCCGCGUGAGUGAAGAAGGCCUUCGGUUGUAAG
rnacentral:rRNA from 1 species